GGCUGGAAAAACAAGUGAAACAACGCCUUGAGAUAACAGUCAGACAAAUCCAGCAUUUGGGACAAUUUACAAGACAACUGGUCUGGUUGUCUUCAAAGGAGAGAGGUGCAAGAAGUUGGAUGGGAUGCAGAGAAGGGCAAUGUGGACACUUUCUUGAAAUCAGAAUGCUGGCUUGACAUCCCUUCCUGGGGGCAAUGAAAGUCACAGUGAAGACAGCAUUGAGUCCGACACUGCACGAUAUCAUAGAAAGUUGUAUAGCCUUAGACGGAUCUUUGGAAGGACUGACUCCGGAAAAAGAUUAAGGAGGCUAAGCGUCUGUCUGACAUCUUGCUGCAGAGUGGCUGUGAGGAUGUGAGAAGCACCACAAAGCUGAGCCCCUGACAGGGAGAAAGAACUGGAAGAAUGAAAGCUUGGCUGUGAAGUGGUGAUCCCAAGGACCCUCACUAAUAAACAUCCAGCACAUUCAUCUUCAUCAUGGCGUCUGCUUCCCAGAGAACCCAGCCGGCAACAGACUCUGCCCUCCAUAUCACUGAUAUUUGUCAGUAUCUCUAUUUUGUAGUUGUCUCCUUUGCCAUUCUCAUUGACCUCAUCAGUUUAUACCUGUUUUACUCAUUUACUGUCACUUUAUAGAAUUUUAAGAGGGAAUAGAGAAAAUUAAAGUGUCUAACCCACCACUGUAUUGGUCAGAAUUAAAUUUCAGAGAACAUAAUUUAUUCUAGCUAUUUAAAACAGACAGGUUAUUUUCAGGGUAUUCAGUGUUGAGGCAGAUUUAUUGCAUAAUGGUCCCAAAUUUUCAUUCCUCCUUUGCAAUGUGACUUUGUAACUCCUCCCAUCCAGGUAUUGAAUCUGUUUCUCUACACCUUGAAUUGUGGCAGGCCUUUUGACUUGUUUUGGCCAAUGGAAUGUGCUAGAAAUGGUGUAUCAUUUCUAAGCCUCAUCCUCAAGAAGCCUUGCACACUUUGCUCUCCCACUUGGAACUCCAGGAGAACAACCCAGGCUAGCGUUAAAAUGAGAGGAAUUUUAAGCUCCCGCAAUUUUGUUCCCUGUGUCUUGUUCAGCAAAGGCACAACAUAUUAUUACGGUAUGUGAGGGCUGCAGUGGUUUAUGCCUUAUUGAGAAUUACUUUACUCAGCCAUAGCCUUGUAUGGCUAGGAGUCCCUCAGGCUCACCAAAAAAAAAAAAAAGAAGUCCAUGCUGUCAAGACAACUUGGAAUCUCUCCAAAAGGUGCCCCACAGAUUCAAAAGACAGACACUUCUUUGUCAACAAAGGCAACCCAUGGCUAAAAGUCUGUAGGGCAAAUUGCACUCGGCUUGUUUGUAAGUCUUAAUCACAGACCCUG